rnacentral:lncRNA from 1 species
UGUCUAAGUCUAUUAAUUGUACACGUCUCAGUGUGUAUAUAUAUGAGCCAUUAAACGUAUACAAUUUUCGUGCUCUUUAGCUCUUCAUAUUUUGAUCACAAUAUAUAUUUUCUUAUAAAAAACCCUCCAUAUAUAUAUAAGUCUCCUGGUUUAGCAUUGCAUGUAUGGAUGAUCAUGUCGAUGUUAAGCAAUAAUUAGAUUGCGUUUUGGGAAGUUGAUCAAGAUUCGGCAUAUUUAGUCUCACUCAUCGGUAUGUUCUUGUGCUUCAUUAUUUGUUCUAGCUUCUUACAUAAAUCUUAUGAUAUAUUGAUAUUUAUUGCUAUUGUGAUGUGUGACACUGUGGUAAAAUCAUCAUAUAUAUAGUUACUUAUACAUAGGAAGAGAUUCAAAUAAAAACCAACUUAAUUAUCGUUAAAAUUAUGAAAACUCUUGCACAUAAUGUACAAAGUAGAUACAUGUAAGGUAUAAACUAAAUGCAUUUAAUAUAUAAAGUAAUUUCACUAUGGUAACAUUAUACUUUUAGCUCAUAAUCGUAAUGUACGUAUACUUUUUUACAUUCUAUGUAAAUACUUUGUACAUUCUAUUCAAAAGUUCUCAUAAGAAAUUUUUAUUUUAACCUGAGCCCUUAUGCUUAUUAGUAAAGAACAUCUUUUAGGCCUUAAUUAAACUAGCUAGGCGCAACUUGCAUACGUUUCACAUUCUAGUCUCUUUUUUGGCUUCUUCCAUUAACUCUACAUUUCCACAAUUUCUUUUUGCCUAUAGUUUGUGUUAGAUAUGUCAAUAUUUGAAUAAACUCCUCGAUCUAUGGAAUAAUUUAAGAAGGAAUAUUGACGGAAUUCUGAUAAUGUAGUUAGAGUAGUACUAAGUUAAUUGAGUGAAGUGAGGACUAGUACAAAUAAAGUUACAAAAGAAAUGGAAUUCAAAUAUUUAAUUAUUUUCUAUUCAUAAACUACUGUUCAUAUAUUUUAAGUAAUUGCUGGGAAACAGGCAACCAGUUUAGUGCCCACGAAUUAAAUAGUUACUAUAUUAUAAUUCCUUGUACAUAUUCAAUGAACUUUUCCUAUAUUUGACAAUUUAAUAUGGCUUUUGUCAGAAAAUGUUCCUUUAUUUAAUAUUCUUUUGGAAAAGAGUCGCAAAUUUUCUAAGACACUACUAUUUAUUAUGCUUUACAAAGCUAAAGAUCCGAUUCCUUUGUAAAGAUUAUAUUCCCUUUUCCAUAAACGAUGAAAUUACUGCUCUCAACUAGGUUAAUGUUAUGCUACGUUUGGAGGAAACUAGAUAUAAUUACAAAUUAUAUAUAUAUA